rnacentral:rRNA from 1 species
UACGGAAGGUCCGGGCGUUAUCCGGAUUUAUUGGGUUUAAAGGGAGCGCAGGCCGGUGCUUAAGCGUGACGUGAAAUGCCGCGGCUCAACCGUGGAAGUGCGUCGCGAACUGGGUGCCUUGAGUGAGUUCGACGCCGGCGGAAUUCGUGGUGUAGCGGUGAAAUGCUUAGAUAUCACGAAGAACCCCGAUUGCGAAGGCAGCCGGCGAGGCCUUUACUGACGCUAAAGCUCGAAGGUGCGGGUAUCGAAC